rnacentral:rRNA from 1 species
AUUGAACGCUGGCGGCAGGCCUAACACAUGCAAGUCGAGCGAGCGGCGGACGGGUGAGUAAUGUCUGGGAAACUGCCUGAUGGAGGGGGAUAACUACUGGAAAAGGUAGCUAAUACCGCAUACCAUCAGAUGUGCACAGAUGGGAUUGGCUAGUAGGUGGGGUAACGGCUCACCUCGGCGACAAUCCCUAGCUGGUCUGAGAGGAUGACCAGCCAACGUGGAACUGAGACACGGGCCAGACUCCUACGGGAGGCAGCAGUGGGGAAUAUUGCACAAUGGGGGCAAGCCUGAUGCAGCCAUGCCGCGUGUGUGAAGAAGGCCUUCGGAUUGUAAAGCACUUUAGGUUGGGAGGCGUUACCAACAGAAUAAGCACCGGCUAACUUCGUGCCAGCAGCCGCGGUAAUAC